rnacentral:rRNA from 1 species
AUUGAACGCUGGCGGCAUGCCUUACACAUGCAAGUCGAACGGCAGCACGGGUGCUUGCACCUGGUGGCGAGUGGCGAACGGGUGAGUAAUACAUCGGAACAUGUCCUUUAGUGGGGGAUAGCCCGGCGAAAGCCGGAUUAAUACCGCAUACGAUCUACGGACGAAAGCGGGGGACCUUGGGGCCUCGCGCUAUAGGGUUGGCCGAUGGCUGAUUAGCUAGUUGGUGGGGUAAAGGCCUACCAAGGCGACGAUCAGUAGCUGGACUGAGAGGACGACCAGCGACACUGGGACUGAGACACGGCCCAGACUCCUGCGGGAGGCAGCAGUGGGGAAUUUUGGACAAUGGGCGAAAGCCUGAUACAGCAAGGCCGCGUGUGUGACGAAGGCCUUCGGGUUGUAAAGCACUUUUGUCCGGAAAGAAAUCCUUGGCUCUAAUACAGUCGGGGGAUGACGGUACCGGAAGAAUAAGCACCGGCUAACUACGUG